UGGGGAAUAUUGCGCAAUGGGCGAAAGCCUGACGCAGCAACGCCGUGUGAGGGAUGAAGGCUUUCGGGUCGUAAACCUCUGUCGGAAGGGAAGAACGGGCAUUGGUCUAAUAGGCCUUUGUUUUGACGGUACCUUUAGAGGAAGCACCGGCUAACUCCGUGCCAGCAGCCGCGGUAAUACGGAGGGUGCAAGCGUUAUUCGGAAUUACUGGGCGUAAAGCGCACGUAGGCGGGUUUGUAAGGCAGGGGUGAAAUCCCACGGCUCAACCGUGGAACUGCCGUUGAAACUGCAGAGCUUGAAUCCUGGAGAGGGUGGCGGAAUUCCUGGUGUAGGAGUGAAAUCCGUAGAUAUCAGGAGGAACACCGGUGGCGAAGGCGGCCACCUGGACAGGUAUUGACGCUGAGGUGCGAAAGUGUGGGGAGCAAACA
rnacentral:rRNA from 1 species